rnacentral:rRNA from 1 species
CACUAUCGUUAACUGAAUACAUAGGUUAACGAGGCGAACCGGGGGAACUGAAACAUCUAAGUACCCCGAGGAAAAGAAAUCAACCGAGAUUCCCCCAGUAGCGGCGAGCGAACGGGGAGCAGCCCAGAGUCUGAAUCAGCUUGUGUGUUAGUGGAACGGUCUGGAAAGUCCGACGGUACAGGGUGAUAGUCCCGUACACCAAAAUGCACAGGCUGUGAACUCGAAGAGUAGGGCGGGACACGUGGUAUCCUGUCUGAAUAUGGGGGGACCAUCCUCCAAGGCUAAAUACUCCUGACUGACCGAUAGUGAACCAGUACCGUGAGGGAAAGGCGAAAAGAACCCCGGCGAGGGGAGUGAAAAAGAACCUGAAACCGUGUACGUACAAGCAGUGGGAGCACCUUCGGGUGUGACUGCGUACCUUUUGUAUAAUGGGUCAGCGACUUAUAUUCUGUAGCAAGGUUAACCGUAUAGGGGAGCCGCAGGGAAACCGAGUCUUAACUGGGCGUUAAGUUGCAGGGUAUAGACCCGAAACCCGGUGAUCUAGCCAUGGGCAGGUUGAAGGUUGGGUAACACUAACUGGAGGACCGAACCGACUAAUGUUGAAAAAUUAGCGGAUGACUUGUGGCUGGGGGUGAAAGGCCAAUCAAACCGGGAGAUAGCUGGUUCUCCCCGAAAGCUAUUUAGGUAGCGCCUCGUGAACUCAUCUUCGGGGGUAGAGCACUGUUUCGGCUAGGGGGUCAUCCCGACUUACCAACCCGAUGCAAACUACGAAUACCGAAGAAUGUUAUCACGGGAGACACACGGCGGGUGCUAACGUCCGUCGUGAAGAGGGAAACAACCCAGACCGCCAGCUAAGGUCCCAAAGUCAUGGUUAAGUGGGAAACGAUGUGGGAAGGCACAGACAGCCAGGAUGUUGGCUUAGAAGCAGCCAUCAUUUAAAGAAAGCGUAAUAGCUCACUGGUCGAGUCGGCCUGCGCGGAAGAUGUAACGGGGCUAAACCAUGCACCGAAGCUGCGGCAGCGACACUAUGUGUUGUUGGGUAGGGGAGCGUUCUGUAAGCCUGCGAAGGUGNNNNNNNNNNNNNNNNNNNNNNNNNNNNNNNNNNNNNNNNNNNNNNNNNNNNNNNNNNNNNNNNNNNNNNNNNNNNNNNNNNNNNNNNNNNNNNNNNNNNNNNNNNNNNNNNNNNNNNNNNNNNNNNNNNNNNNNNNNNNNNNNUGCUGGAGGUAUCAGAAGUGCGAAUGCUGACAUAAGUAACGAUAAAGCGGGUGAAAAGCCCGCUCGCCGGAAGACCAAGGGUUCCUGUCCAACGUUAAUCGGGGCAGGGUGAGUCGACCCCUAAGGCGAGGCCGAAAGGCGUAGUCGAUGGGAAACAGGUUAAUAUUCCUGUACUUGGUGUUACUGCGAAGGGGGGACGGAGAAGGCUAUGUUAGCCGGGCGACGGUUGUCCCGGUUUAAGCAUGUAGGCUGGUUGUCCAGGCAAAUCCGGAUAAUCAAGGCUGAGGUGUGAUGACGAGGCACUACGGUGCUGAAGUAACAAAUGCCCUGCUUCCAGGAAAAGCCUCUAAGCAUCAGGUAACAUCAAAUCGUACCCCAAACCGACACAGGUGGUCAGGUAGAGAAUACCAAGGCGCUUGAGAGAACUCGGGUGAAGGAACUAGGCAAAAUGGUGCCGUAACUUCGGGAGAAGGCACGCUGGUGUGUAGGUGAAGUCCCUGCGGAUGGAGCUGAGACCAGUCGAAGAUACCAGCUGGCUGCAACUGUUUAUUAAAAACACAGCACUGUGCAAACACGAAAGUGGACGUAUACGGUGUGACGCCUGCCCGGUGCCGGAAGGUUAAUUGAUGGGGUUAUCCGUAAGGAGAAGCUCUUGAUCGAAGCCCCGGUAAACGGCGGCCGUAACUAUAACGGUCCUAAGGUAGCGAAAUUCCUUGUCGGGUAAGUUCCGACCUGCACGAAUGGCGUAAUGAUGGCCAGGCUGUCUCCACCCGAGACUCAGUGAAAUUGAACUCGCUGUGAAGAUGCAGUGUACCCGCGGCAAGACGGAAAGACCCCGUGAACCUUUACUAUAGCUUGACACUGAACAUUGAGCCUUGAUGUGUAGGAUAGGUGGGAGGCUUUGAAGCGUGGACGCCAGUCUGCGUGGAGCCAACCUUGAAAUACCACCCUUUAAUGUUUGAUGUUCUAACGUUGGCCCCUUACCGGGGUUGCGGACAGUGUCUGGUGGGUAGUUUGACUGGGGCGGUCUCCUCCCAAAGCGUAACGGAGGAGCACGAAGGUUAGCUAAUCCUGGUCGGACAUCAGGAGGUUAGUGCAAUGGCAUAAGCUAGCUUGACUGCGAGCGUGACGGCGCGAGCAGGUGCGAAAGCAGGUCAUAGUGAUCCGGUGGUUCUGAAUGGAAGGGCCAUCGCUCAACGGAUAAAAGGUACUCCGGGGAUAACAGGCUGAUACCGCCCAAGAGUUCAUAUCGACGGCGGUGUUUGGCACCUCGAUGUCGGCUCAUCACAUCCUGGGGCUGAAGUAGGUCCCAAGGGUAUGGCUGUUCGCCAUUUAAAGUGGUACGCGAGCUGGGUUUAGAACGUCGUGAGACAGUUCGGUCCCUAUCUGCCGUGGGCGCUGGAGAAUUGAGGGGGGCUGCUCCUAGUACGAGAGGACCGGAGUGGACGCAUCACUGGUGUUCGGGUUGUCAUGCCAAUGGCACUGCCCGGUAGCUAAAUGCGGAAGAGAUAAGUGCUGAAAGCAUCUAAGCACGAAACUUGCCCCGAGAUGAGUUCUCCCUGAGACUUUAAGUCUCCUGAAGGAACGUUGAAGACGACGACGUUGAUAGGCCGGGUGUGUAAGCGCAGCGAUGCGUUGAGCUAACCGGUACUAAUGAACCGUGAGGCUUAACCUU